CAAGAAAGGAGAUCCAAACCCGGGUUCCAAAAGAAAGUAUCCACCAGCGCUCCAUGACAUUCCAUUUAGCUAAUGCAAUGGGAGAAUGGUGACCCUAAAGAAUUUAUGAAGCUUGAGCUACUCAAGACUGAUGUAUCUCCUCUAUCCUUCCGGUCCUGAGGAAGACCCUUCGCAUGAUGGAGGAGUUUGUCCACUUCCCGAAAGCACCCGGCUCAGGGGUUAAAUUCUUAUGAUUGCCCAGAGGUCUUGAGACCCCACUGGAGAAACACAGCUUUAAGGUAUUGCUCGGUGACU
rnacentral:lncRNA from 1 species